rnacentral:SRP_RNA from 14 species
GAUCGGGGCGCUGCCUCGACGGCCAGGGGCGGCGGCGGGGCCUUGCUGGAGGCCACCGAUUGCAUCGGGCGCUUGCAGAGGUUGGACUCGCGCUUGGCCGAGAAGACGGAGCAGCUGGCGCGGGCGCUCGCCGCCGCAGAGGCUGACUGC